rnacentral:tRNA from 1 species
GCGGGAGUGGCGAAAUUGGUAGACGCACCAGAUUUAGGUUCUGGCGCCGCAAGGUGCGAGUUCAAGUCUCGCCUCCCGCACCA